GAAACUCCCAGCACAGAACGCAAAGCAGUAAAGAAGAUGAUUCAGACAUGGAUUUGGCAUUCAAGCCUCGGCCGUAGGGAAUUCCAGUAAUGGAUUCAGCAUCAUCUUUCAGAAGUGACAAGUUGUUUUGGACUUCUGUCAUCUCUCUGAGACAUCAAGCACUAAAACACUCCUUUCAAGGCUAUCUACUCAUCUUAUAGUCACAAAGCAUAUUUAAGGCUGUCAGCAUGGUGUAAAUGAGGCUUUUAUAUGUUCAUGUCAGACUAUGCAUGGUCUCCUUCCUGGUAAAGAAGCUCAAUCAAUGCAAUAACAGGAAAUAUGUGACUAGCCACUGUUAAAGCAAUAGCAUGGAAAGGACAGUUCGAUAAACCAAGAUAAACUGAUAUAUCUCCAAAGUUACAGCAUUGCUCAACAAAGUUCAGAUCUUUUUCCUCAUCAUGAAGCUAUUCCACUCAAUUGGUCACUCAGCUGCAAGGUAAAUUUGGCUGAACAAGCUUUGAUGCAGUGAUGCAUAUCUGUAUCCCUACUCACUCUGCUUCGUCUCGGAGGGAAUCAGGGAGCAUGGUGUGUCCAAAUUUAUUAUGGUGACUUGUCCCUUUUCUUUUGGCUUCUACAAGCUUCUUUGAGGACCUACAGCACACUUUAUUAUGCUCUUGUAAGCAGCAUGGGCUUUCAUUCUUCGAUGUAACUUUUUGAAAUAAAGUGACUGGUGAUGGAAGCUGCUCCUUUUCUCCACUGAGGUAGCAUGGCUUGUGUCACUGGUCUUACCAUGUCGCAAACUAGAAUCUUUCAGCUUGCGAGGACUCAAAGUAGACCAUCCAUAAGAGAUGAGAAAGACAUAAAUCUGGCGGCCUGCAGGUUGGUUGGCAAAACCAAGGAGGAGGGUGACAAAAGCAAUCAGAGAGACUGAAAAUAGAGGAGCUUGUGGAAGGAUGUGGGAGAAGAGUGGUGGCUGAGGCACAGAGAGAGAAGGUAGUAGCUUGCCUUGAUAGGCACUGACCUCAGCUGAAGGCAAUCUUUUCACCUUAGUUCUGUUUUAUGGGAUUUCUCCUGGUGUGCAUUGAUGGAUGUACUCUGUCCCAUCUUCUAUAACAUUGGAUGGGAUCUUUAGAGCUAGGAAAUCACAGCACUAGAACAGAGAGGAUGGAAGGAUUUCCUGUGUUUUCCCCCAUGGAAUUGUCAAGAUUUGGUGCCACAAGAGACUCUUGCUUCAGUUUAACA